GGUCACGUCAGUUAAGAGGACGAUGAAGGAAGCGUCUGUACUAUGUCUGCUCUUUCUGACAUCGGUGUUUUACUGGACAACAAACCAAGCUCGUCUGACUGUGAGUCCCAG